GUGGUAUUUUUAGUUCAGUAUUGUGCGGGCUGCCGGCCGGCUCUAGCCGCCACCGCUGGUCGCCAUUACGCCUGCCGGUGGUGCUGGCAUUGUGGCUGUGGAGGGUGGCGGCCGGGAUCAGACUUAGCAAUGGUUGUGUCGAGUAGUUAGCGCUACUUAUUCGAGUAUCAGGAGGCCUGAAACUUUUUCAUGAACGUUAAUCACAUGAAAGAGACAUAUCCCAUUUUGUACACAAUGCAAGCACGUCAUCUUAAAUGACAGACAAUCUCAAAGUGAAGCAUCAUGUUUUUUGCUUUUGAAAAGGCUUAUUUGAUAUUGUGCCCUUACUGCCUCCCACCCAAGUAGUUUGUCAAAACAAAAGGCUGCAUCUUUUGUGAAAUGGAGGAGCAUCUUAAUAUUCGCGGUUUUAAUCAUCCAGUUGAUGCUGUCUUGAAUCAAGGAGGCGAUUGCUAAAACCUGAAGUUUAUGAAGUGUUGGCAUGUCAAUUUUUAUUAUUGAGAAGACCCUCUCUAGGUGGGGCAUGACGUUUUCGUUCGUGAGAGGGAUUGAGAUUGGAGCCAUUACUGCUAGUUAUUGGUUCCUGCCCGAGUGAAGGCUAGGCUGGGUUGGAGAUUCUCGUACCAGAUUGGUUUCAUAUGAGGGGCCAGACUAAGUAGCUCCACGUGAAGGAAGUUGUGUUGUACUUUGCUGCGUGAAAUGCUUUUUCUUGGGCGAGGGGUCUGUUCAGUUCCACUUCAUGCCGAUUCAUGAUCUCCUACUUCUCUUUUCUUCUAUUCUCUCAAAUUUCUUAUACAAGAAAUUGAGAAUGGGGGAUCUGACUUCGGCUGAAUAGUGUAUUUACUUGGCCUUAUCUAUAAACUGUUUUGUUAGAAAUUAUAUUAUGAUCUUCCCUUUUCAAGGGUUCCAGUGAUCUAAUGUUUUGUCAAAUAAGACAGGGCCUUUGUACAUUAGCUCUUCAGUAGUCUAAUGUGAUGUGUUUCGUGGUGUUAUCGGUGCCAUGUUUGGCCUGGUAACGUACGGUCUCUUAGCUGGACGAACGAGGCCACUGGUUUCUUGCGAUUGUAGGUCACAAAGCAGAUUUACAAACUACUUUCAUAUAAAAGUUCUAAAACUAUCUUGUACUUUUUAAGGUGCUUCUCAGCACCAUCAAAACAUAUCUUCCAAAUUUAUUUAAUUGUUUCGAUCUUUAUUGUACAUUUAAAUUACAAAUAAGCCAAAUACCAGUUCAUAUAAAAACAAAAAAAUAAAAAUUAAAAAAAAAUUUAAAAAAAUAAUAAAAAAAAACAAAAAAAAAACCCUCUCUAUGGGGGAGCCACGUUUUCGACGUGAGAGGGAUUGUGUGCUUCAGUGAUUGUGAAAGCUGUGCUGGUCUGGAGCUUCUCUUGCCAGAUUGGUUUCUUAUGAGAAGCCAGACAAAGCAGCCCCCCCUUUUUUUUUUUUUUUUUUGUAAACUAAAUUACAAAAUUUCCAUAGUUACCUAAACUGUGUGAAGUUUGGUCUCACCGAGGUCGGGGUGUGAUCGACCUUAUACUGUAAUGCUGUUGACAAAAUGUGAAACUAUCUCUAUCGACUAUUUAUAAAUACUGAAAAAAACUGCCUCCUAAAUCUUUUUAUAAUGUGUUGAACUUUUUAGGGUUGGGAUCUGUGGAGUGUUAAGAACAAACUGUCAUCUUUGGGUAACUGUAAUUGUCGGUCUUCCUUCUUGGUAGUGAUCUGAUUAUGUGUACUCUUUGAAUGAUUAUGUUUCUGUAAUACUUGAUAGAUGCCUUCCCUAUUAGUCUGGGAGGCGGAUCGUUUUGUUGCAGAGCCCAGACCAUCGGGCCACCACACUCUUUGUCACCUGAGUUGUGUAGCAGUAACGGCCGUUGCAGCAGGCGAAUGCGCCCCGACUUUCUUCGCGGCCUGUAGCGUCACUAAAGUUUUACAAACAUUUAGAUAAAUUACUAAUUUGUUUGAGCAUGUUCUUAUAAUAAAGUUCUCCAUGUUCUCAAU